rnacentral:rRNA from 1 species
UACGAAGGGGGCUAGCGUUGCUCGGAAUCACUGGGCGUAAAGCGCACGUAGGCGGCUUUUUAAGUCAGGGGUGAAAUCCUGGAGCUCAACUCCAGAACUGCCUUUGAUACUGGGUAUCUCGAGUCCGAGAGAGGUGAGUGGAAUUCCUAGUGUAGAGGUGAAAUUCGUAGAUAUUAGGAAGAACACCAGUGGCGAAGGCGGCUCACUGGCCCGGUACUGACGCUGAGGCGCGAAAGCGUGGGGAGCAAACAGG